rnacentral:rRNA from 1 species
CAGCAGCCGCGGGAAUACGGAGGGUGCGAGCGUUAAUCGGAAUUACUGGGCGUAAAGCGUACGCAGGCGGUCUGUUAAGUCAGAUGUGAAAUCCCCGGGCUUAACCCGGGAACUGCAUUUGAAACUGGCAGGCUAGAGUCUCGUAGAGGGGGGUAGAAUUCCAGGUGUAGCGGUGAAAUGCGUAGAGAUCUGGAGGAAUACCGGUGGCGAAGGCGGCCCCCUGGACAAAGACUGACGCUCAGGUGCGAAAGCGUGGGGAGCAAACAGGAUUAGAUACCCGAGUAGUCCCUGUCUCUUAUAC